rnacentral:rRNA from 1 species
AUUGAACGCUGGCGGCAUGCUUUACACAUGCAAGUCGAACGGUAGCAGGCCGCAAGGUGCUGACGAGUGGCGAACGGGUGAGUAAUGCAUCGGAACGUGCCCAGUCGUGGGGGAUAACUACUCGAAAGAGUAGCUAAUACCGCAUACGAUCUAUGGAUGAAAGCGGGGGACCGUAAGGCCUCGCGCGAUUGGAGCGGCCGAUGUCAGAUUAGGUAGUUGGUGGGGUAAAGGCUCACCAAGCCAACGAUCUGUAGCUGGUCUGAGAGGACGACCAGCCACACUGGGACUGAGACACGGCCCAGACUCCUACGGGAGGCAGCAGUGGGGAAUUUUGGACAAUGGGCGCAAGCCUGAUCCAGCAAUGCCGCGUGCAGGAAGAAGGCCUUCGGGUUGUAAACUGCUUUUGUACGGAACGAAACGGCUCUGGUUAAUACCCGGGGCUAAUGACGGCACCGUAAGAAUAAGCACCGGCUAACUACGUG